rnacentral:lncRNA from 1 species
UGCGAUAAGUAAACAUCCAUUGAAAUGAAAGAAUAAGUUAUUCUAAGUGCAAUAAAAGUAAACUCGCAAUUCAUCGAGUGUUAUAGAAAUGAAAAACCCAAUACAAACAUAGCUUUGUUAUUAAGCUUCAAGACAUAAGCCCAUGGAAGCUUGUUAAGAAAACUAAGGCGAGCCUAGUUCUAUUCAAUUUGAUUAAGCUAAG